AUGCCUGCGUACAUCCAUGGAUGCAGCGCGCCUUCGCUGAGGAGCCUCCAUGUGACGAGCGCGCUCUACAGGGGUGAGGGAGACCUAGUCACGGCGGCGAUCAAGAAGCUCCCGCUGCUGGAGCAGCUGGUGCUGUCGCGCGGCAUCGUGAAAAAGGAAUGGCCGGUGGCCCUCCUCGAGCAUUGCCCGCGCCUCGAGCUGCUCGACGCUGGCGACUGUGUGGCCCUUGAGCUGAUCGGCAAGAGGCUCGUGGAGAGGUGCGAGAGCAGGAUCAGUAAGGAACUCCGGUGGCCACAACGGGGUGAUGGCGUGUGCCCUUGCUGCGCCAUGCGUGCUCAGAUAUACGUCGACGAACACGAUGAGUGA
rnacentral:rRNA from 1 species